UACGUAGGUGGCGAGCGUUGUCCGGAUUUAUUGGGCGUAAAGCGCGCGCAGGCGGUGCGCUAAGUCUGCGGUGAAAUCUCCCUGGCUCAACCGGGAGGGGGCCGUGGAGACUGGCGCACUGGAGGGACCUAGAGGCCGGUGGAAUUCCCGGUGUAGUGGUGAAAUGCGUAGAGAUCGGGAGGAACACCAGAGGCGAAGGCGGCGACCUGGACAAGCACUGACACUCAACUACGAAAGCGUGGGGAGCAAACAGG
rnacentral:rRNA from 1 species